rfam:Morus notabilis contig14050, whole genome shotgun sequence.
UAUGCAUAUGUGCGCAUGAACAUUGUGAAUUGUAACGAUAUAGAGAAGAUUAGUAUGGAUCAUGCACAAAGAUGACGCUCGUAUAAAUUAGUGGAUGUUUAGUUCA